AAGCAACCUGCUGGAGGCCAGAAAGCAGCAGUGACCAUUAGGGCUCUAUCUCUGGGGCUAAGAAAAUUUCUGUUCUUGCCUUUGUCAACCAAAGGGAGAAGAAAAAGAAAAAAAAAGAGUUAUAAGUCCUGGAGAGAAUGCAUUAAGCAGCUAUCUGAAGACUGUGAAGAGUAAAUAGACUCAUUGGAGAAGACAAUUAUUUUGAAGUACAACCAAACUGGGGAUCUAUGUCUCACAUGAGAUGACAAAGAGUUCAAGACGAAAAUUCUGCAUUUGGGAACAGAAUAACAUGAACUUACUGCUGCAGGCAAGAUACUGGAAUCUACUGGGAAGGAGCAGCCUCUAUACGGGAUAUGCUAUUUUUCUGGCAGAGGACAGAAGGAAGCUCAACCAAACCAUGUUGCUUGGAAAUCAAGAGAAAAACAAACCAUCAAGUUUGGGUGCUAUAAGAAGCAAGCAACACAAGAAAGAAAAAGAAAGAUUUCGUUAACCACAAAGUGAAAUUGGAAAGAUUUUAUCCAGAAGCAUUAACUGUCAUUAAAUAUAAGCAGUCUGAAAAAUACCUGCUUUAUACAACGGUGCUGUGAACAAGCUCCGGGUGACUUGCUGCCUGUUAAGUGUGUGACUCUUGCAUUGUGGUUAGAGCUCUUCUGCAACACCCCACCCCACCCCCAACACACACACACCCACCAACCAC